rnacentral:lncRNA from 1 species
AAGCACUCUUCUAUGGCUUAACCUUCAGACAACCCUACAGGUUUGAGAACCAUUUUACAGAUAAGGAAAACCGUGACUUUCGGGCACAUGAAGUAAGAAUACAUGGGAAUUUAAAUCAGGUUAAGCAAGUAUACCUCAGAGCUGCUGCAACAGGCAAGCAAUACCAGAAGGGGUAGUGUGGACAUUAUAAAUGUUAUUUUGAAAACUAUAGCUGGUUUUCAAUAUAUCAAAUAUAAACAUGUCUAUAUAACUCGAAUGAAUAAAGACAAUGUAACAUUAUCACUUUCGAG